rnacentral:rRNA from 1 species
CGCGCCCGUGAACCCAUGCUCCUUCACCUUAUCUCUUACUCCAGCCCACUGCCCUCACUUCAUUUCCUCUUCUCUGGAUCCCCUUCCUCGUCUAGCUCACUAGGGGUGCAGGUCGCAGUUGCAACACCAGCCGCAGGAAUCGGCGGGAUACGCUAGCCCUCAGUCCGGAUCGACGUCGAUGCCUCCGGCUCCGACAUGCACGCCCGCUGGACACCGCCGUGAACCACCUUGUUUCCCGGUGCAUUCUUGCUUCUAGGUAGUUCCCCUAGCUCCAUUGUUACUCCUGUCGUUCCUUUAAUGGUGAUUCUGGGCACCGACAUGCAUCAGCCUCUUGGACCGAGGUUGUCUUCGUCGGUUCCGUCGGCCGCCACUGCGGCACCGCGGUCAUCCUCCUCACCGAACAGCUCCAGGGACCAUGACGGGCUCCGUGUUGUCCGCAUCUCCUCUGGACCAUGGACUCGAAGCCGCGGGUCCCUCCUACUUCUUCCCUGACGUUGACUUCCAUUGUCGCUGUCCGGAGCUCGUUGCUCUGCUCCAUCCAACCUUGCCACUUACAGCAUGGGUUUCUUAAUCGUUUAAAUAGAGUCCGGCAAUGAGGGGUAUUAUGAGUUUGAUCCACAGCUUCAUCAGGACGCUGACCAGGAAGGCAAGCAUCAUGAAUUCCCUAUCUUAUGUUUUACUUAUGUUGAAGGAUUAUACUAUCUUGUUGCCCAUGUUGGUUACCAUGUCGUACCUUUCUUUGCAAUAUCCACAUUUAGGACAUGGGUAGGAGUUGCUUGCUGUUCAUGAUCAGCGGGUUGUGACAUAUAUUAAUUCCGGCAAUUUGUAGUCAUCUUAAAAUAGUACAGUUAUGAUAUCUUCAGACCAGAAAAUGCCAAACGGAGACCGAGCUCCAUGGAGGCCUUUAUUCAAUAACUUCAAAAUUCAAACUUUUCAGUUUCAAAAAAUUCUGAAAAUAAACACACAUAUACCUAGAUACAUAAUGUACAUGUGUGCAAAUUAUCAGGUCAAAACACAUUAAAAUGUGAGCUACACAAAAAAGAAAAUUCUGGUGCUUUUUAGCAUGUAUACUGUUCAUCUUCAAAGUCUAUGAUUUUUCUUUGUGCAGCUUGCAAUUCAAGCUAUUUCAUAGUGAAAUUUUUCGCACAUACAC